rnacentral:rRNA from 1 species
UUGUUUACAGGCUCAGAUGCUGAUGACAUGGAGCACGACAAAUUGGAAGACUCAAGUCACAAUACCUAUGUCGACCAUGAUCCAUUGGACUAUGUCCACUCAAACCUCCCAGACCACACACACAUACUGAAGCACCCCGCAAAUUGCAAUCACUGCAAGGCCAAGAAGUUUGUGUCCGAGGCCCCGGGAUUCUGCUGUCGCAGUGGGUAGAUCCAGCUGAAGCAACCGGAGCCCAUCCCGGAGCUAAUGAGGCUUUGGUCUAGCAUGGAUGCGGACUCAAGGCAUUUUCGGGAGAACAUAUGGUUCUUCAACGGCCACUUCUCCUUCACAACCCUCGGCGUCAGCCUUGAUGAAAGCUACACAAACAUGAAGUCCGGGGUGUACACGUUCCGGGCGCACGGCACCAUCUACCACAACGUUCAUUCCUUCGGGCCAACAUCACGUCCAGAGCAUCUACAGUUGUACUUCUACGACGACGACCCAGGCCUAACCCAUCGCAAGGCUGCCACCGAGCAAUUAGAUCAGGAUGUCGUCAGAAAGUUAGUGGACAUACUCAGGGAAAACCCGUAA